rnacentral:rRNA from 1 species
GAAUUUAAUAUAAUUAUUUAUAAAAAUAUUUUUAUAGCUGAAAUAAAUGAUUAUUAUUUGAUUGGGAGGAUAAAUAAAUUUAAUUAACUUUAAUAUUGAGUUAAGUUAUAGAUUAAUAAGUAAAAUUUUUUUGAAUGAUUUUAAAAUUAAGUUAGAAUUAAUUACCUUAGGGAUAACAGCGUAAUAUUUUUAUAAAGAUCUUAUUAAUAAAAAUGGUUGC